rnacentral:misc_RNA from 1 species
ACAAAUCUGCUGCAUGCCGGGCUCUGGUCCGUGCAUGCAUAUCUACCCCGAGCCUGGCAGUGAUGCCGGGCUUUGGUUGGGUGGGUGCGCAAGUGCCCGCUCGGCUUGUGUUGUGCGUUGGGGCUCCCGGGUCCUGGUGCAUGGCACGGCUACAUAGACGCUUGUAUGUGUUUGACAGAGUUACAGUUGUAAAACUAAAAUGA